rnacentral:rRNA from 1 species
AUGGGUGGCCUCUCCCUUGAGCACCCGUGGGCCUUUGCCUUUGGCCUCCUAGGCAACAUCAUCUCCUUCAUGACCUACCUAGCCCCACUGCCAACGUUCUACCGGAUCUACCGGAGCAAGUCGACGCAGGGGUUUCAGUCGGUCCCGUAUGUGGUGGCGCUCUUCAGCGCGAUGCUGUGGAUCUACUACGCGCUCCUCAAGUCCGACGAGCUCCUGCUCAUCACCAUCAACUCUGCCGGCUGCGUCAUCGAAACCAUCUACAUCAUCAUGUACCUCACUUACGCGCCAAAGCAAGCCAAGCUGUUCACGGCGAAGAUCCUCCUCCUCCUGAACGUGGGUGUGUUCGGCCUCAUCCUACUUCUCACACUGCUACUGGCUGGGGGCGAGAAGCGCGUCGUCAUGCUUGGGUGGGUCUGCGUCGGCUUCUCCGUCAGUGUCUUCGUCGCGCCGCUCAGCGUCAUCCGCCUCGUGGUGCGUACCCGGAGCGUGGAGUUCAUGCCCUUCUCCCUCUCCCUCUCUCUCACCGUCAGCGCCGUAGUCUGGUUCCUCUACGGCCUCCUCAUCAAGGACAAAUACGUCGCUCUUCCCAACAUCCUGGGGUUUGCCUUCGGGGUGAUCCAGAUGGGGCUCUACGCCCUGUACUGCAACGCCACGCCCAGGCAGGCGCCAAAGGAGGUGGACGAUCCCAUGUCUGACCAUGGUGGUGCCGUCAAGGCGCCCGAGCACGUCGUCAACAUCUCUAAGCUGAGCCCGGCGGCUGGCAUCGAACUCAACACAACCGUCAACGCCGAGCCGCCAUUGAAGAGCCUCGGCGUGGCUUGCGCCAACGAGGAGACCAUAGGGGUCAGCGUUGACAAGGCAACCCACGUCGAGCAAGUCUAG